rnacentral:lncRNA from 1 species
AUUAGCCACGUAUAAUGGAUCACUUUUAGAAGUGUAGAAUGUGUUGCAUUCUAGAAUCUUAAGGUUAAGAUAUCUCGACAGGGACAAGAACAUCAUCAAGAGUUUUUGUAGAGUCAACAUCAUGGUAUGGAACAAUUCGCGAGACCCAUUUCAUGGAUGAAGACUAGGAAAUAGUUUUGGAUUUUGGGAGUGAUUUGGAGUUGGUGAUGUUUUCUUAUUUAUAGAGGAUUUUGAGAAUUAAGAAGGUUUAGAAUGGAGAAAAGAAGAAGACAUGGAAAUGGAUCUUUUAACAAUGCUUGGACCCAUUUGACGAAGAAGCAAAUCAUCAUCAGAGGAAAUAAAAGUUUCAG